GAGUGGCAUACAGAGGGGUGGGGCUGAGUUACCAAAGAAUGGGUUUUACACUCACAGGGGAGCAAAGGAGCUAGUCAGUCACCGACGGAACCAGCAUAUUCGCAGAGCUCUGGUGUGAAUGUGGAUUUAAACAAGAAACAAUGCUUCCUGGUUCUAAAGCCAUCUUUUAAGAUUUUUAGUGUAAUUUUGGACUCCCUAUAAGAGGUCUUCGGUUGUUCACAAGGACAAUCUCUGUUUUGUUUUGUUUUGUUUUGUUUUUUUCUCCACACCCUUCCCCCAAUCCUCUUCAACUCUCUUCUGAGGAUUUUAUUUCCCUGGCUUCAGUACAUCUUUAUCUUUACAUUUCCAUUCGAAAAUGACCGUGUAGCUAUCAUUCUCUUGGUGCCUUGGUCGAAUACUCCCUGAUUUAGACGUGAGAACUCCCUUCUCUGAAGCGCAUCACUGAGGUGAAGGAUCUGAAGCCGCUAACGGUGGUGGCGGAAGGGACAUCAGGCAUCUCCUUGACAAGCUUCAGUCGGCCAGAGUCCAAGAUGAAGCCGAGAGAACUGAAAGAGCCUUUGGCUACCGGGGCGGGUGAUGGACAGAGAGUGCUGUGAAAGGAGACUGGCCAACGGCAAAGAGGGGCCUGGUAAAGAAUUGGCAAGGCUGUGUGAAGCCCCUCGGUGGAAAAGCCCGAGCUUCAGCGUGUCCGUCUGUCGCACCGUGCUAGGAGGCGAAUCAUUUUGGCCUGGGGAAGUUGCCUGCCAGGAAGCUACCCAUCUGUGGGGGCCUUUGGGAAAGUGGAUGUGUCUGGACUCCUGCCCGACCCUGUGGAAAAGGAUGAGAAGAAAAGGCCCCACAGUGAGAGAUCAGGCUGAGAGACGAGGAGCACCCCCGUGGCUGACACUCAUGAGUCAGAGCAAUGGGAAGGAGUUGGGAAACGGAGGAAAAGGAUGUGGGGGUGGGAGGAGGCGGGAGGCAGCUUUGUUUCUUCAGUCUGGGUCUGUCAGGACCUGUCUCCUUCCUUGACGGAUUCCCCCAUUUGGCAUUCUUCACCCAUCCUUUGAAAACUCAAGUCUGACUUCUUCCAGGCCAAUUUAUUUCUACAAUCUUUGUAGAACCCAUUAGAUGCAUGAAACAUCAAAACUACUCAGAAGAAAAGGCUAAAAAUUAAAUGCUAAGGUAUAUCACAAGAUUGAGAAGCCAAGAAGAAAGAGGAUGAAUUAUGGGAUAAAGCCUGGGGAAACAUUGCAGUAGGAGAGCGCAGGUGACCUGAGUCCAGGUGACCUCUGUCUGUCUGAGGAGUACUCAGGCCUCAGAAGUCAUCCCUCCCAUGCUAACAUCAUCUAUAAAUAGCACCGAGUCCAAAAAUAGGUUUCAAGCACCGUCUUCAUCCUGCCUUCACCUUGCAGUAUGUGAUAGCCCUAAAGAGCCACGGGUUCUCCAGGAACAACAGGGUUCCACGUUCUCUGGCUCUUAUGGUUUGAGUGCAGAAUGUCCGCGGUGCGCUUGUGCGAUGGAACACUGGCUCUGCAGCCGACAAUGCUACUUUACAACAGUGGAUCUCAACCUGUGGGUCUCAACACCUUUGGGGCAUAAAUGAACCUUUCACAGAAGUCACCUAAGACCAUUGAAAAGCAGAGAUGUCUACAUUACAAUUCCUAACUGCAGCAAAAUUCGUGGUGAAGUAGCAACAAAAAAAUAAUAAUUUUAUGGUGGGCAUCACCAAACAUGGCGAACUGUAUUAAAGGGCCACAGCAUCAGGAAGGCUGACGACCUCUGCUUUAGAAGGUCCUGGAAUUUUUAAGAGGUGAAGUAUUUCUGGGAAAAGGGAGUCACUAGCUGGAGAGCGUUGUUUGCUAGGUUGGCCCCACUGCCUGUCGUCCCUCUGCUGCAGGACUGUGGAUUUACUAGGAUCAAUGCCCCACACCCCUACUGUAUUGUCUUCUCCACCAUGAUGGACCUGUGGCCCCUCUUAAACCCUGGGGGAGGGGAAAAAAUCAACCCUUCCUCACUGAAAUUACUUCCUUGCCAGGCAAAUGGUCAUUGCACUAAGAAAAAUAACUGAUGUACCUCACUACCCAGGAACUUGCUGAGCUGCCCACUGCACACCAGGCUCCUGACUUGCUCUUCCUGCCAAGACGAAGCCCAUUGCCACCCAUGACUCAUUCCCAUUAAGUAAAGACUUGGGCUGAGUCUCCUGCCAUAGAGGUUGGAGUCUGUGAGGUAGAAGGGAGUCUCCUGACAUAGAGGUGGAGUCUGUGAUGUAGAAGGGAGUCUCCUGCCAUAGAGGUUGGAGUCUGUGAGGUAGAAGGGAGUCUCCUGCCAUAGAGGUGGAGUCUGUGAGGUAGAGGGGAGUCUCCUGCCACAGAGGUGGAGUCUGUGAGGUAGAGGGGAGUCUCCUGCCAUAGAGGUGGAGUCUGUGAGGUAGAGGGGAGGGUUUAUCAUGAGGCUACCUUAGGCCAGGAGCCAGGUGAACGUUGGAACUCUUCUCAUGCACUCUGUGUUUCUGGUUUUUACAGGAAUGUUUUGAAGAUGCCCAGUGAAGUGAGGCAGAGGGAUUCCUUGGUAUAUUUUACCAUUUACAUAAGGGGAGAAAUGUCUCCACUUUAUAGACUGAUGGGAGACAGUAAUUCAGAUGGGAGUAGAGAGCCCAGCAGGCUGAGAGGAUGAUACAGAGCCUAGAUUGCAUCUGUUACUUCAGCAUCAUUUCUUUCCCAUAACUUUCAGUGACUCGGAAUGCUAAUAGAAAAUUUCCAGUUAAAGAACUGGGGGCUGCCACAUCUAGCAUGGCUUCAGAGAUUGACCUGAGUGGGGACGUCAUGUAUUUAAGAAAAGACAGACACAGGGAACCAUGGAAAAGCUGGUGUUGAGUGGGCUGGGCUCUGUGAUGGAGAAGCUGCAGCCCCCAGGAAGUCAACAUAUCUAUUAUAAACAGGGUAGCAGGGAGCCGGGGUUAUUGCACACAGCUGAACAGGAAAGCAGGUGCUAAUUUUAUAGGAGAAACCUCCAUAGAUGAACAGUCUUCUUUAUUCAGAGGAAGAAAAUGGGGUACUGGGGUGGGGUUGGGAGAGGGAAAGCUACUUUGAACAUCUGCAUACACUCUCAACAUCCACAGAUGGACCAGAGGAAGACUUUGCUAUCCUUGUGAGCCUCACCAGCAAAGACUUUGUCAUGCCCUUGGAUCUGAGGCAGUGGAGUUCUUGAAUGGCCCAGCCUGUGUCAAACAAUGUACAUCCACUCCAGACUUCACUUGGUCCCUAGGUUCAACCUCCAGAACCAUAAAAAGGAAAGUCUCCUUGCCUUACCUUUCUUCCAACCCCUAUAUAAUUUGGGUCUAGGCUACUUUUCUGAAGUCUUCUCUUUCAGGAGUCCCUUCACAAGUCCCCACCAGGGGAAAAAAAUAAAGCAAAACCCCUGUUCAUGUCUGGAAAUAGGCCCUUGGCCAGCCAGCUCUCAUCCAUGAGCAGGAGAUCCUGGCCUGUUAUCAACUUGGCCGUGUCCCAGGAGACUCUAACUUGCAGAAUCCCUUCCACAACCCAGAUACAAAGCCUGAGAUGACGACUCUUUCAGAAGUUUCCCAAGUGGACCUAAAACAUCAAUGUUUGUCAACACCAAGACUUACAAAUCCCUCCACUUUGCAUUCCACACUUGACCUGUGCCCUGAAACUUGGUUCUCUCUCUCUCUCUCUCUCUCUCUCUCUCUCUCUC